AUUGAACGCUGGCGGCAUGCUUUACACAUGCAAGUCGAACGGUAGCAGGCCGCAAGGUGCUGACGAGUGGCGAACGGGUGAGUAAUGCAUCGGAACGUGCCCAGUCGUGGGGGAUAACUACUCGAAAGAGUAGCUAAUACCGCAUACGAUCUAUGGAUGAAAGCGGGGGACCGUAAGGCCUCGCGCGAUUGGAGCGGCCGAUGUCAGAUUAGGUAGUUGGUGGGGUAAAGGCUCACCAAGCCAACGAUCUGUAGCUGGUCUGAGAGGACGACCAGCCACACUGGGACUGAGACACGGCCCAGACUCCUACGGGAGGCAGCAGUGGGGAAUUUUGGACAAAGGGCGCAAGCCUGAUCCAGCAAUGCCGCGUGCAGGAAGAAGGCCUUCGGGUUGUAAACUGCUUUUGUACGGAACGAAACGGCUCUGGUUAAUACCCGGGGCUAAUGACGGUACCGUAAGAAUAAGCACCGGCUAACUACGUG
rnacentral:rRNA from 1 species